rnacentral:rRNA from 1 species
GACGAACGCUGGCGGCGUGCCUAAUACAUGCAAGUCGAGCGAAUCUGAGGGAGCUUGCUCCCAAAGAUUAGCGGCGGACGGGUGAGUAACACGUGGGCAACCUGCCUAUAAGACUGGGAUAACUUCGGGAAACCGGAGCUAAUACCGGAUAAUUCUUUUCUACACAUGUAGGAAAGCUGAAAGACGGUUUACGCUGUCACUUAUAGAUGGGCCCGCGGCGCAUUAGCUAGUUGGUGAGGUAACGGCUCACCAAGGCGACGAUGCGUAGCCGACCUGAGAGGGUGAUCGGCCACACUGGGACUGAGACACGGCCCAGACUCCUACGGGAGGCAGCAGUAGGGAAUCUUCAGCAAUGGACGAAAGUCUGACGGAGCAACGCCGCGUGGGUGAUGAAGGUUUUCGGAUCGUAAAACUCUGUUGUUAGGGAAGAACAAGUACGAGAGUAACUGCUCGUACCUUGACGGUACCUAACCAGAAAGCCACGGCUAACUACGUGCCAGCAGCCGCCGCCGUAA